AAUAGAUACCCCGGUAGUCCACGCCCUAAACGAUGAUAACUCGAUGUUAGCGAUAUACCGUUAGCGUCCAAGCGAAAGCGUUAAGUUAUCCACCUGGGGAGUACGCCCGCAAGGGUGAAACUCAAAGGAAUUGACGGGGGCCCGCACAAGCGGAGGAGCAUGUGGUUUAAUUCGAUGAUACGCGAGGAACCUUACCCGGGCUUGAAAGUUACUGAAGAAUGCAGAGACGCAUUCGUCCUUGGGACAGGAAACUAGGUGCUGCAUGGCUGUCGUCAGCUCGUGCCGUGAGGUGUUGGGUUAAGUCCCGCAACGAGCGCAACCCUAUGUUUAGUUGCCAGCACGUUAAGGUGGGGACUCUGGACAGACUGCCUGCGUAAGCAGAGAGGAAGGUGGGGACGACGUCAAGUCAGUCAUGGCCCUUACGUCCGGGGCUACACACGUGCUACAAUGGACGGUACAGCGGGCAGCUACACAGCAAUGUGAUGCUAAUCUCGAAAAGCCGUUCACAGUUCGGAUCGGGGUCUGCAACUCGACCCCGUG
rnacentral:rRNA from 1 species